rnacentral:misc_RNA from 1 species
GAAAUGCGAUAAGUAAUGUGAAUUGCAGAAUUCAGUGAAUCAUCGAAUCUUUGAACACACAUUGCGCCCGCCAGUAUUCUGGCGGGCAUGCCUGUUCGAGCGUCAUUUCAACCAUCAAGCCCCGCGCUUGUGUUGGGGACCUGCGGCUGCCGCAGGCCCUGAAAACCAGUGGCGGGCUCGCUGUCACACCGGGCGUAGUAGAUUUUAUCUCGCUCAGGGCGUGCUGCGGGUUCCGGCCGUUAAAAAGCCUUUUUUACCCAAGGUUGACCUCGGAUCAGGUAGGAAGACCCGCUGAACUUAAGC